rnacentral:misc_RNA from 1 species
AUUCUUAUCAGGAUGCCAUUUCAUAGCCAAUUUUCUAUAAGCUUUCUUGAGUUCAUCAUCUGUAGCACUCUUAUCAACUUGCAAUAUCUUAUAGUAAUCUACACCCAUCUUCUAUAACCAGUUAUCUAACUCAAAAAUUGAUAUAAGAGGCAAAUUUAUGCAGAGAAUAUGUAUGCUUGUGUUAUGUAAAUUGAACGAUUGAAGUUUUGGUUGUGGGCAGAGUUUUUUAUUAAGAGAAGGAG